rnacentral:tRNA from 2 species
UCCGGCGUAGCUAAGUGGCAAAGCACGCGGCUGUUAACCGCGACAUCGGAGGUUCGAUCCCUCCCGCCGGAG